rnacentral:sRNA from 1 species
AAAAAACCAGCCUGACCAACAUGGUGAAACCCCGUCUCUACUAAAAAUACAAAAACUAGCCAGGGAUGGUGGCACAUGCCUGUAAUCCCAGCUACUCAGGAGGCUGAGGCAGGAGAAUCGCUUGAAUCCAGGAGGCGGAGGUUGCAGUGAGCCGAGAUCAUGCCCCUGCACUCCAGCCUGGGCAACAGAGCGAGGCUCCAUCUCAAAAAAAAAAAAAAAAAGAAAAGAAAAUAUGCCCUCUACCUUCUGAGCCCGAGGAGAAAAAAAAGAAAAUAUGCUCUGUUGUUCUGCCCCUCAGAUUUAUUUUCGUGUUUUUGUAGGAUCAGACAAAGGUGAAAAUGAAGCAAUGGAAUCCUGUAAGUAAGAAGUUUUGUGAUACUUAAGUAGCCUGGCCUGCAUCCCAAAAAUUUAGAUUCUAAAUCUUCUGUGUUCGUUUUUCUGCCUGAGGAAUACUGCUGUGCCAAGUGGCUCCUCAAGGCGAUAGAUUGGGUUGCUCCCUUGCUGUUGGCACGGCCUCUUCACCAGUGUCUACACUCUUUUUCCCCAGCUGGUAAGCGGGCCCCUCAGUGCUACCCCAGUUCCGUCAACUCUGCCAGGACUGUGAUGCUGUUCAACCUUGGCAGCGCUUACUGCCUGAGGAGCGAAUAUGACAAAGCCCGAAAGUGUCUCCACCAGGCGGCUUCAAUGAUCCAUCCUAAAGAGGUGCCCCCUGAGGCCAUCUUGCUGGCAGUCUACCUUGAACUGCAGAAUGGU